rnacentral:rRNA from 1 species
UACAGAGGUCUCAAGCGUUGUUCGGAUUCAUUGGGCGUAAAGGGUGCGUAGGUGGCGUCGUAAGUGGGGUGUGAAAUCCCGGGGCUUAACCCCGGGACUGCAUUCCAUACUGCGGUGCUUGAGGACUGGAGAGGAGACUGGAAUUCCCGGUGUAGCGGUGAAAUGUGUAGAGAUCGGGAGGAACACCGGUGGCGAAGGCGGGUCUCUGGGCAUUUCCUGACGCUGAGGCGCGAAAGCGUGGGGAGCAAACGGG